AAAAUAUGAUUAGAUGCAGUUAUUGCGAGCAGUUUAAUGAUAUAAAUAACAAUUCUUUAUGUGACUGUUGUCCUAAAUAACUUUAGUAUUUUUAUUUGUGGGAUUAUUAAUGCUCUCUCAUAAAGUCACAGCAAUAUAGUUGCUUAAAACAAUAAGUAAUAAAUAGUUCUUAUCAUCACUUUUAUUGUUAUCACAAUAAUAUUGUAAAAUAUUGUGAUAAAUCUCCUACAAAGCAUAUUUUUCCUGCAAAGUUUUUGCCUGGUUUUUAGAACUUUAAGCAGAUUUUACAGCCUUGCACGAUGUGCUUAGGGUAUUUCAGCUGUUUCUUUGUACUGAAAAUGCAAUAUAUUAGAUUUCUGUUAUCAAAUAACCGCAACUAAAUCAAACGUCGGAUGAACAUGCGUACGAACGUGAGACAUGUUCACAUGCAGGACACACACCCAUAAACACACUCCGUGCUCUCUGUGUCAGCCCGUCUAAGCUUCUUCCCCUCCCCCCUCUCUCUCAGCUCAACAUCUCUCUCCCCUUUUUGUCCCCCUCGCCCUCUCCUUUUCCCUCCCCUCGCGCUCUCCUGCCUGCUAGCACUAUUUCAAGCCUCUGCCGAGGAAUGAGGGAGGGCGAGCGAGGCAGAGACACACAGAUGCGCAGUUAGAGAGAGGGAGAGCGGAGGGGAGGGGAAAGCAGACAGGAUUUAGAGUUCAAGUGCACGUGCAGAAAAUAGGGUGAAUAGAGGCUAGCCGGACCAGAAAGGAAAGCAGGAACAGGAACGGCAGGAGCUAGAGACGAAGCCCACACCGACUCCUUCGAGAAUGGGAAGACUGCCACACUCCUCCUCUAUCCCUCCCUAUUGGAUAUUUCUCCAUUAACCUCCAGUCUCUCUCCUUUCUCUCUGACUCUCCUUUCUCUCCCCUCCCACCUCUUCACACAUGCACACGCCCCAGACUCCUUCCCACUCAUUUCCCUCACGCGCCCUUACUAUCCACUUUCACUGGAGACCAACUGCAAUCCGCUUAGGGUUUUUUUUCUCCUCUUCCUUUUACUUUUCUUUCCGCAUGCCGUUAUUUCCCUUCAGUUAUCCCUUCAUGUACGGAGGCACCCCCCUCUCAGACGCCGCACUCUUACUAUGUGUGGCGCCCCUGAAAAAAAAUGUAGGCCGUGGAUUGUCCCCGCAUUAGACUGCAUGCCACAAACCGCUUUUCCUAUCCUGUCAACAUUUUUUGUUUUUUAUGUUUUUGCUUCUCUUCUGCAGUAUUUUUAUUUAUUUUUUGUUCGGGAAAUCGCUUUCUGUGCAGUAAUCUUUUUCUAAAGUCGUGUGUGCAUUGAAAAGCGGAAGCUGGGAGUUGAAGAAAGGAAAAUCGUGUGUGUGGACAUGUGAAGAAGAUAGAGGCAAAAAAAAGGAAAGAAAGAAAGAAUGAGGGGGAAAUGGAGAGCAUGGUCUGCGGUAGAAAGCAUGAAGGACAGGCAAAGAGAGAAAGAGUAUCAGUACUGGCAAGAAAAACAGGAGGAGGAAGAGAGGAACGAGAGGACCAUAAAGGGGGGGAUUGACUCAGGAAGGAGGGACGGCCGGAUAGGAAUUGGUAAAAUCAUUAAAAAAAAAAAAAGAGGUGGAAAAAAACUCCUGAAUUAGAAGAAACUGGACGUUUCCUCAAACUCAGACUUUCACUCUCUGGUUUUUCUUCAUCACUUCCCCGAUCUUUCCUCUCAUUCAUUCGUAAGUAUGCAGCAUGUACCUGUCCUUUUCCUCUCCAUUCUUAAAUACUUUAUCCCUUCUCACUCUCCUGUUUUUUGUAGUCGUUUGUUAAAAAAAAAGUCUGUAAGUUGCCUCUCCCCCUCCAUCCGUCCAUCUAUCCCUCGCUCUUUUCCCUCCUUCAGCUCCCUCUGUAUCUUGAGUCUUUGCUCGUUCUCUCCCCUCCAAACACACACCUCUGCUCACAUUCAGCAGAGCUCUGUGUUCUCCGAAUACACUUGGUUUCAGAGGGGCCCAUGAAUGGGAGGCUAGCUCGCGGAGGAUUCGGGGUUGAAUUUAAGAUGACAUGGACUCUUGGACAUGCUUUAUAUAAGGUUGAAUUUAAGAUGACCUGAACUUUUGGACAUGUUUUAUACAAGACGCCUUCCCAGUGAGAAGAGAGGUAAAAGUUGCUUCCUGCUUUAAAGGAUGGGAUCCGGUCCAGGUUCUGCAGAGCGUCUAUGACAAACGGCAACCCAGCUUCUGUGACAUUCUUCCUGCUGACCCUGACAUUACCUCAUUCUCCUCCCCCUUAUCCAGCCACCAUGUGCAACAUAAUCUGUCUGCCUCUUGUUGUUUGCCGUCUUUUUCUGGCCUUCUCGUCUCGGCCGACAGGAUUCCUCGGUGAAGACGGGAGGGACAAACGUGGGAUAAACUCAGCUAAAAUUACAAACUGUGUGAAGAGAGAUUCAGAUUGUGGAAGUUUAUGACAACAUGCUGAAUUCAUCCAGUAAUUUUAGAUUAAUAAAGUGUCUACAACAAGCCUGCUGUUGUUAUCUAAUAUUCAUGUUGAUAUUUUGUCCAUAUUGUGCAGUAUUUUUAAUCUUUUUCCUGUUUUUACAUGUAUUUUAUAUUCUUUGUGUGAGUCUAUUUGCAGCCAAUAAAUAUAUUUAUAUUCUAUUAUACUACAAACUAUUAUAAUUCCUUUUCUUUAUGAGACAGGUCACACUAAAAUCAUAAUUUAAGUCAGGUUCUUUAAAUUUGGUUCCACUGUAGUCUUCUGAAAUCUAGUGUUUUAUUAUAUCUUUAUUUCAAUUAUAUUAUGAACGUCAACUUAUAUUUUUAUUAUUAUUUUUGAGAAGACCUGUAUUUAUGUAACCUUAAUUUAUAUCAUACAAACAUUGCACUUUUUAAAUAUUCUUUUAGCAUAAGAUGUUAAAAGUUGAAAUGGUGUAACAGUGAAUUAAAUUAGGGAACUAAAACAGAGACGUAAAGAGGAGCGGCAAAAGCAAAUGAGGUGGAUUAGCCACCAGAACAUGCUGCUGUGGAAUAUUUCUACUGCUGAGCUGUUGUCAUGUUCUAAUACUGUCAUACACAACCGACUUCAGUCAGAGGCUUCUUCACAUUAACUGCAAGACUGACUGCUGCUGGAGAUCCUUCCUGUCUGCAGCAUUACCAUCAACUCUUUGAAUGUAUGUUUGGUAUAAAUAAAGUGUUUUUGAAAUUGGA